UACGUAGGUGGCGAGCGUUGUCCGGAAUCACUGGGCGUAAAGGGCGCGUAGGCGGUUAAUUAAGUCAGGUGUGUAAACCGCAGGCUUAACCUGAGGAUUGCACCUGAUACUGGAUAACUUGAGUGCAGGAGAGGGCAGUGGAAUUCCUAGUGUAGCGGUGAAAUGCGUAGAUAUUAGGAGGAACACCAGUGGCGAAGGCGGCUGCCUGGACUGCAACUGACGCUGAGGCGCGAAAGCGUGGGGAGCAAACAGGAUUAGA
rnacentral:rRNA from 1 species